GGUUAAGCGACUAAGCGUACACGGUGGAUGCCCUGGCAGUCAGAGGCGAUGAAGGGCGUGCUAAUCUGCGAUAAGCGCCGGUAAGGUGAUAUGAACCGUUAUAACCGGCGAUACCCGAAUGGGGAAACCCAGUGUGACUCGUCACACUAUCAUUAACUGAAUCCAUAGGUUAAUGAGGCGAACCGGGGGAACUGAAACAUCUAAGUACCCCGAGGAAAAGAAAUCAACCGAGAUUCCCCCAGUAGCGGCGAGCGAACGGGGAGGAGCCCAGAGCCUGAAUCAGCAUGUGUGUUAGUGGAAGCGUCUGGAAAGGCGCGCGAUACAGGGUGACAGCCCCGUACACAAAAGCGCAUAUGCUGUGAGCUCGAUGAGUAGGGCGGGACACGUGGUAUCCUGUCUGAAUAUGGGGGGACCAUCCUCCAAGGCUAAAUACUCCUGACUGACCGAUAGUGAACCAGUACCGUGAGGGAAAGGCGAAAAGAACCCCGGCGAGGGGAGUGAAAAAGAACCUGAAACCGUGUACGUACAAGCAGUGGGAGCACAGGUUUACCUGUGUGACUGCGUACCUUUUGUAUAAUGGGUCAGCGACUUAUAUUCUGUAGCAAGGUUAACCGUAUAGGGGAGCCGUAGGGAAACCGAGUCUUAACCGGGCGUUAAGUUGCAGGGUAUAGACCCGAAACCCGGUGAUCUAGCCAUGGGCAGGUUGAAGGUUGGGUAACACUAACUGGAGGACCGAACCGACUAAUGUUGAAAAAUUAGCGGAUGACCUGUGGCUGGGGGUGAAAGGCCAAUCAAACCGGGAGAUAGCUGGUUCUCCCCGAAAGCUAUUUAGGUAGCGCCUCGUGAAUUCAUCUCCGGGGGUAGAGCACUGUUUCGGCUAGGGGGCCAUCCCGGCUUACCAACCCGAUGCAAACUGCGAAUACCGGAGAAUGUUAUCACGGGAGACACACGGCGGGUGCUAACGUCCGUCGUGAAGAGGGAAACAACCCAGACCGCCAGCUAAGGUCCCAAAGUCAUGGUUAAGUGGGAAACGAUGUGGGAAGGCCCAGACAGCCAGGAUGUUGGCUUAGAAGCAGCCAUCAUUUAAAGAAAGCGUAAUAGCUCACUGGUCGAGUCGGCCUGCGCGGAAGAUGUAACGGGGCUAAACCAUGCACCGAAGCUGCGGCAGCGACGUUUAUGCGUUGUUGGGUAGGGGAGCGUUCUGUAAGCCUGCGAAGGUGGCCUGUGAGGGUUGCUGGAGGUAUCAGAAGUGCGAAUGCUGACAUAAGUAACGAUAAAGCGGGUGAAAAGCCCGCUCGCCGGAAGACCAAGGGUUCCUGUCCAACGUUAAUCGGGGCAGGGUGAGUCGACCCCUAAGGCGAGGCCGAAAGGCGUAGUCGAUGGGAAACAGGUUAAUAUUCCUGUACUUGGUGUUACUGCGAAGGGGGGACGGAGAAGGCUAUGUUGGCCGGGCGACGGUUGUCCCGGUUUAAGCGUGUAGGUGUGUGUUCCAGGUAAAUCCGGUUCACUUUAACACUGAGGCGUGACGACGAGGCACUACGGUGCUGAAGCAACAAAUGCCCUGCUUCCAGGAAAAGCCUCUAAGCAUCAGGUAACAUCAAAUCGUACCCCAAACCGACACAGGUGGUCAGGUAGAGAAUACCAAGGCGCUUGAGAGAACUCGGGUGAAGGAACUAGGCAAAAUGGUGCCGUAACUUCGGGAGAAGGCACGCUGACACGUAGGUGAAGUGAUUUACUCACGGAGCUGAAGUCAGUCGAAGAUACCAGCUGGCUGCAACUGUUUAUUAAAAACACAGCACUGUGCAAACACGAAAGUGGACGUAUACGGUGUGACGCCUGCCCGGUGCCGGAAGGUUAAUUGAUGGGGUCAGCGCAAGCGAAGCUCCUGAUCGAAGCCCCGGUAAACGGCGGCCGUAACUAUAACGGUCCUAAGGUAGCGAAAUUCCUUGUCGGGUAAGUUCCGACCUGCACGAAUGGCGUAAUGAUGGCCAGGCUGUCUCCACCCGAGACUCAGUGAAAUUGAACUCGCUGUGAAGAUGCAGUGUACCCGCGGCAAGACGGAAAGACCCCGUGAACCUUUACUAUAGCUUGACACUGAACAUUGAGCCUUGAUGUGUAGGAUAGGUGGGAGGCUUUGAAGUGUGGACGCCAGUCUGCAUGGAGCCGGCCUUGAAAUACCACCCUUUAAUGUUUGAUGUUCUAACGUGGACCCGUGAUCCGGGUUGCGGACAGUGUCUGGUGGGUAGUUUGACUGGGGCGGUCUCCUCCUAAAGAGUAACGGAGGAGCACGAAGGUUGGCUAAUCCUGGUCGGACAUCAGGAGGUUAGUGCAAUGGCAUAAGCCAGCUUGACUGCGAGCGUGACGGCGCGAGCAGGUGCGAAAGCAGGUCAUAGUGAUCCGGUGGUUCUGAAUGGAAGGGCCAUCGCUCAACGGAUAAAAGGUACUCCGGGGAUAACAGGCUGAUACCGCCCAAGAGUUCAUAUCGACGGCGGUGUUUGGCACCUCGAUGUCGGCUCAUCACAUCCUGGGGCUGAAGUAGGUCCCAAGGGUAUGGCUGUUCGCCAUUUAAAGUGGUACGCGAGCUGGGUUUAGAACGUCGUGAGACAGUUCGGUCCCUAUCUGCCGUGGGCGCUGGAGAACUGAGGGGGGCUGCUCCUAGUACGAGAGGACCGGAGUGGACGCAUCACUGGUGUUCGGGUUGUCAUGCCAAUGGCACUGCCCGGUAGCUAAAUGCGGAAGAGAUAAGUGCUGAAAGCAUCUAAGCACGAAACUUGCCCCGAGAUGAGUUCUCCCUGAGACUUAGAGUCUCCUGAAGGAACGUUGAAGACGACGACGUUGAUAGGCCGGGUGUGUAAGCGCAGCGAUGCGUUGAGCUAACCGGUACUAAUGAACCGUGAGGCUUAACCUU
rnacentral:rRNA from 1 species